rnacentral:rRNA from 1 species
AUACGGAGGAUCCGAGCGUUAUCCGGAUUUAUUGGGUUUAAAGGGUGCGCAGGCGGGAGAUUAAGUCGGCGGUGAAAUUUUGCAGCUCAACUGUAAAAGUGCCUUCGAUACUGGUUUCCUUGAGUGUGGAUGAAGUUGGCGGAAUUUGUGGUGUAGCGGUGAAAUGCUUAGAUAUCACGAGGAACUCCGAUUGCGCAGGCAGCUUACUAAACCACUACUGACGCUCAGGCACGAAGGCGUGGGGAUCAAACAGGAUUAGAUACCCUGGUAGUCCACGCAGUAAACGAUGAUUACUGGCUGUUUGCGAUACAAUGUAAGCGGCUGAGCGAAAGCGUUAAGUAAUCCACCUGGGGAGUACGUUCGCAAGAAUGAAACUCAAAUGAAUUGACGGGG